GGAGGACAAGGAUGCUUCAGUAACCUUGAGCCCGGUGGUGGAGGUUUCUUCAGGAACCGUGAGCCCAGUGGUGGAUGUUUCUUCAGGAACCGUGAGCCCAGAGGAGGGUUCUUCAGGAACCGUGAGCCCAGUGGUGGUGGAGGUUUCUUCAGGAACCG